rnacentral:rRNA from 1 species
UGAGGAAUAUUGCGCAAUGGCCGAAAGGCUGACGCAGCGACGCCGCGUGAAGGAUGAAGUUCGUUAGAAUGUAAACUUCUUUUGUAGGGGAUGAAUGUGCCGUUUUGCGGCAUUGACCGUACCCUGCGAAUAAGGAUCGGCUAACUACGUGCCAGCAGCCGCGGUAAUACGUAGGAUCCGAGCGUUGUCCGGAUUUACUGGGUGUAAAGGGCGUGUAGGUGGGUCUCUAAGUCGGUGGUGAAAGCCCGCAGCUCAACUGCGGAAUUGCCAUUGAUACUGGAGGUCUUGAGUACGGCAGAGGGAAAUAGAAUUCAUGGUGUAGCGGUGAAAUGUGUAGAUAUCAUGAAGAAUACCGGUAGCGAAGGCGU